CACUGAAACAUAGAUCACUUAAAAUAUUAACUUAAAGUGUUUACGUUUCGGU
rnacentral:pre_miRNA from 1 species